rnacentral:rRNA from 1 species
UACGGAGGGUCCAAGCGUUAUCCGGAAUCAUUGGGUUUAAAGGGUCCGUAGGCGGUUUAAUAAGUCAGUGGUGAAAGCCCAUCGCUCAACGAUGGAACGGCCAUUGAUACUGUUAAACUUGAAUUAUUAGGAAGUAACUAGAAUAUGUAGUGUAGCGGUGAAAUGCUUAGAGAUUACAUGGAAUACCAAUUGCGAAGGCAGGUUACUAGUAAUAUAUUGACGCUGAUGGACGAAAGCGCGGGGAGCGAACAGG